rnacentral:rRNA from 1 species
GACGAGGGGUCCAAGCGUUGUUCGGAUUCACUGGGUUUAAAGGGUGCGUAGGCGGGCAGGUAAGUCAGUGGUGAAAUCUCCGAGCUUAACUCGGAAACUGCCGUUGAUACUAUUUGUCUUGAAUAUUGUGGAGGUAAGCGGAAUAUGUCAUGUAGCGGUGAAAUGCUUAGAUAUGACAUAGAACACCAAUUGCGAAGGCAGCUUACUACACAACGAUUGACGCUGAGGCACGAAAGCGUGGGGAUCAAACAGG